CCCUUUCCCCUUGACACACUAUCUUCUUUCUCGUUCUUAAUAUCCUCAAAAAUACAAAUAAUAAUGUAGGUACUCAAGGUCAACCAUCAGCAAUCCUGUGCUUGAAUUCAACAAGGGAACAAUGAAAUUAAACCAUGUUGAAGAGGCAAAAUUUUGGGUCCAAUUCUCUGAAAACUAGAAGCGAGGAAACUAUCAAACAGGAUCCAAGGGGCUCAGGGGGGAGA